AGCUCCAUCUUUCCAUCCCGAGCGCAGAAGAGCAGCGGAUGUGUUGAUGCUUUUUGACGUUUUGUUUUUAUUUUUAAACGCCCAGAGUCGAUGUGAAACGACCGCGAGCGGACUCCUGCUCCGUUAUUGUGCACCAGGGAUCCUGCAGCGAACGCGAUGCGGCGUGAGGCGGGUGUUAUGAGGUAGAUCGAGCCGCUGCUGCUGCGCUUCGGCCGCGGAGACACAUCUGAGAGAAUCCGCCGCAGGAGCGCUUCCGGCCCGCGCGAGAGCAGGCACAAGUAGACGCAGAAAUGAACAGAAUUCGGUGUUCAUGUGCAUCUGCGUGUCUACACCGGACGACAGAAUACUACAGAACCCAUUAUAAUCAGUGAAGCGGUCUACUCUGGAUGCGGUGCACGACAAAUCCCUGACGGAACCAUGAGUUUGCGAGAGCUGCAUCUGAACGGUCCAUGAUGAGCAGUGCGUCUGCAGAUCGUGAGGUGCGCUGUCUGCUGUGAACGCCACGCCUGACCCUCGGCCUGCUGGGAGCUGCAACUCUUUCCAUGUGUUUAUUUGAGGUGCUUUUAUGUCCAGAUCAGAAGCGCUUUCAGACUCUUUUCUCAUGGCUUUGAUUGCUCAGACACUAGCUGCGGAGUUCCUGUCUGCAUCGAGUGGCAAAGUAAUGCGGCCCUUUCUCUGGGCUGCGCUGUGAGCGUCUCGCUGCGGUCCUGUUGUGCUCGUCUUCUCUCUUCUGAGCGUCAGAAUGAGACAUUGUGUCGGGACAGAGAAGAGCGUGUGAUCUCUCGCCAGCAGUUUUGCGCUGAUCCAGAAAAAUGAAUGGAGGAAAAGAGAGGGAGGGUGCUGAGGGCAGAGGUCAGCUCGCCCAGGUGCCCAUCGGCUGGCAGCGCAAGGUGGAGGCUUCGGGGGUCCUGUAUAUCAGUCCGAGUGGAUCAGUGCUGUCCUGCCUCGAGCAGCUGAAGUCGUACCUGCUGACCGAUGGCACGUGUAAGUGUGGUCUGGAGUGUCCUCUCGUCCUCCACAAGGUCAGUACUCCGACGUAAUGCUGCCCAUUUCACACAACCUGGACAUCUUUCCAAAAGCCAUGUUGUCAUUGAUGAUAGUGCUGAUGUGCAGGAUAAAUCACUGUGCUGUAUUUUA